rnacentral:rRNA from 1 species
GUCUACCAUGCAAGUCGAACGAGGCCUGGGGGGCAACUCCCAGAGUCGAGUGGCGGACGGGUGAGUAACACGUGGGUAACCUGCCCGGAAGUGGGGAAUACCUCGGGGAAACUCGAGCUAAUUCCGCAUGACAUCUUCGGGACGAAAGUCCUGACGAUCAAAGCGGGGUCGCAAGAUCUCGCGCUACCGGAUGGGCCCGCGCCCGAUUAGCUAGUUGGUGAGGUAACGGCUCACCAAGGCUUCGAUCGGUAACCGGCCUGAGAGGGCGAUCGGUCACACCGGAACUGAGACACGGUCCGGACUCCUACGGGAGGCAGCAGUGGGGAAUCUUGCGCAAUGGGCGAAAGCCUGACGCAGCAACGCCGCGUGGAGGAUGAAGGCCUUUGGGUUGUAAACUCCUGUCGGCUGGGAAGAAAUCAUACGGCGCUCAUACCGCCGUAUGUUGACUGUACCAGCAAAGGAAGCCCCGGCUAACUCUGUGCCAGCAGCCGCGGUAAUACAGAGGGGGCCAGCGUUAUUCGGAAUUAUUGGGCGUAAAGGGCGCGUAGGCGGCCAUGCGUGUCUUCCGUGAAAUCCCUCGGCUUAACUGAGGACGUGCGGAAGAAACUGCAAGCUUCGAGUCCGGGAGAGGGGGGUGGAAUUCCCAGUGUAGCGGUGAAAUGCGUAGAUAUUGGGAGGAACACCGGUGGCGAAGGCGGCCCCCUGGACCGGUACUGACGCUGAGGCGCGAAAGCGUGGGUAGCAAACGGGAUUAGAUACCCCGGUAGUCCACGCCGUAAACGAUGGGCACUUGGUGUCGCGGGUAUCGACCCCUGCGGUGCCGAAGCUAACGCAUUAAGUGCCCCGCCUGGGGAGUACGGUCGCAAGGCUGAAACUCAAAGGAAUUGACGGGGGCCCGCACAAGCGGUGGAGCAUGUGGUUCAAUUCGAAGCAACGCGAAGAACCUUACCUGGG